rnacentral:piRNA from 1 species
UGGUGUUGGUGUUUGCAGUCCAAAGAGU